rnacentral:rRNA from 1 species
CAGUAGCCACGGUAAUACAGAGGGUGCGAGCGUUAAUCGGAUUUACUGGGCGUAAAGCGUGCGUAGGCGGCUAAUUGAGUCGGAUGUGAAAUCCCCGAGCUUAACUUGGGAAUUGCAUUCGAUACUGGUUAGCUAGAGUGUGGGAGAGGAUGGUAGAAUUCCAGGUGUAGCGGUGAAAUGCGUAGAGAUCUGGAGGAAUACCGAUGGCGAAGGCAGCCAUCUGGCCUAAUACUGACGCUGAGGUACGAAAGCAUGGGGAGCGAACAGGAUUAGAUACCCCCGUAGUCCCUGUCUCUUAUAC